UAUGUUAUACAGGUCUGAUUUCAUCUGCUCCCAGAAACUAAGCAGGGUUGGCUUGGUUAGUACUUACAUGGAAAACCACCUGGGAAUACCAGGUGCAGAG
rnacentral:rRNA from 1 species